UGUGAUAGCCCUUUCCUCAGCGGGAGCA
rnacentral:piRNA from 1 species